CCCCAAGACGAUGACUCACGGCUAACGCUAAAAGGAACACUCUAAGAAAGACCGACGCUCCUGGAUGACGACCCCUAAGACUACGACUCAGGACGACCCCUAAAAUAAAAAGAAAAAAAAGGAAAUUAGUUAGGAAUAAAGGAAAUUAGGUUAAGUUGGAAAAUACAGGAAUUAAUUAGGAAUUAGUUCAGGUUAAGUAAAAAAGGAAAUUAUUUGGGGGUAAAGGAAAUUAAGU
rnacentral:lncRNA from 1 species